rnacentral:snoRNA from 1 species
CCCCUCUCAGGAUUGCACCUGGAGAGUCUCCAGUCCUCUACCAGUCUCCGCUACAGGAGGGCGAGUCAAGCAGAGGCCUACCCAUUGCAUUCCUAGCUUGGCCAGGGGCUAGUGAGUGGAAGGCAAUCUGCCACAAGG